rnacentral:rRNA from 1 species
AUUGAACGCUGGCGGCAGGCUUAACACACGCAAGUCGAGCGGGGUGAUGGUGCUUGCACUAUCACUUAGCGGCGGACGGGUGAGUAAUGCUUAGGAAUCUGCCUAUUAGUGGGGGACAACAUCUCGAAAGGGAUGCUAAUACCGCAUACGUCCUACGGGAGAAAGCAGGGGAUCACUUGUGACCUUGCGCUAAUAGAUGAGCCUAAGUCGGAUUAGCUAGUUGGUGGGGUAAAGGCCUACCAAGGCGACGAUCUGUAGCGGGUCUGAGAGGAUGAUCCGCCACACUGGGACUGAGACACGGCCCAGACUCCUACGGGAGGCAGCAGUGGGGAAUAUUGGACAAUGGGGGGAACCCUGAUCCAGCCAUGCCGCGUGUGUGAAGAAGGCCUUAUGGUUGUAAAGCACUUUAAGCGAGGAGGAGGCUCUUUUGGUUAAUACCCAGAAUGAGUGGACGUUACUCGCAGAAUAAGCACCGGCUAACUCUGUGCCAGCCGCCGCGGUAA